GACAAGAUCCCAGUGUUAGGGGAACAAAGCCCGUGAUUGACGGGCCUGAAAUGGCUGCAGCGCUGAGUCUUUGUCGUUAGCAAGCAAAGGCCGCAGCAGGUUCGGGGAACAUCGCUUGAAGAAGUCAGAGUGAGACUGGUUAAUGACACGGCUUUUGAUUUAAAUGCUUAUUUAACUCUUUGUUAGGAGUGGUCGCGAAGGUCGCUCUGUCAAAGCGCCGAGUCGCGACGACUUUGUCUUCACCACAGCGGGUUGACGCUGCAGCUCUCGUUGGACGGGGAUUGUUCGUCCGCUCUCGCUUUUGCGACAGUAGCUGUUUCGUCACCGUGACUGCUUCAUGACGACAGAGAGAAGGGGAAGACUCCUUUUAACUCGUAGAGACAAACCAUCGCUUAAGUGUGAAUUUAACUCAUUAUUCAUGUGCCAAUAACACCACAAAUUUGUUCUUCGAUUAUUUUCCUC
rnacentral:lncRNA from 1 species